AACCUCCCAACCGGUCGGGUAGAAAUUUCAUUUUAACACCAAUCAAUAAAACUUCGCCACGUAGAAAGUGCAGCAAACCAAGAUUUACAGCCACAUGCAGAAGAGUACUUCAAUUUAUUCUUCCCCUCUUCUCUCUCCCUUCCCCCCACUCCUGGUCGCCUGCAAGUCCUCCUCUCUCUCUCUCUCUCACUCACUCUCUUACUUCCUUGAAGCUCCGUCUUCAUAACACAUCUUCGUAAAGCUUUCCACUGAUUUUCAAAGCCCCAAAUUCUUUCGAUAAACUCGAUGUUCUUCGUUUUUCUUCAUCUAUUUUUUUGAUCUGUACUAUGAUUUAUUUGAUGAAAUAUUUGGUGGGUAAGAUGUAUUUAUCUGGGUUUUGUUUGAUUUUUUUCUUUUAUCCUGGAACUGAUCUAACUCUCUUGCAAGAAGUUGGAGGAAUUUGAAGAAGAGGAUGAUGAGAGGAAGAAGUCGAUGAAGAAGCUACACUUAGAGCGACAAUCUCACGGGGUUCCAUUAAUGGAGCUUCAUCAAUUAGGAAGUUAUUUACGAGCAUUGAGUCAAAUGGGCUUGUCAUGCUUUUCUCUUUCUCUUUGGUUUCAAUAAUGGAGAAUGAUUGCAAUGAGGUCUCCGGUUCUUUAUUUUGAUCAAGUUCAGCCGUACGAUAAUCAGUCUGAAAAUUUUGAUUUGUUUUUGCUCUUGUUCUGGUAGGUGCUGUAGUUGUUGUUGGGGUUUUUCAGUGGCAGUAAAGAUUGGCUUGUGGGUGAUAGGAUCGAUGUCCAUCUUUUUCAACUUUUUCUUGAUGUGGGUAUUUGAGUGAUUUUUUUAUCCGUGAGGCAGGAGAGAGAGCUUUAUCUGAGAGAGGAGAAGCGUAGGAGAGAAGGACAAAUGUUAAUAGGAAAAAAAAAAAAAAAUCAAGUACAUGCACAUGUAUAAUCACUUUGCUAAAACUGAUACGUGGUAAUAUUUCAUUUGCUGGUGUAAAAACGGGUGUCACACCCGUCCGGCUCCUAGCGUCUCUCUUUAUACAUCUACGAGACGUUAGUUUCUUUCCAUUCAUUGUUCAAUUUGAAUAAAGAGAGACUUCCGGUGAAAUCCCUCGUUAAUUCUCACCUGUGUCGGUUUGGUUUUUAUUCUCGAUUUUGCUCAAUCGGUGUACCUCUAUUGCAAAAAACUGCCUCUCAAUUAAUUAUUUUCAAUGUUAGCGGUGAGUUCUAAUCUAAGCCGAGGUCAGGACAAUCUAACGUGCUCGAGCACAAAAUCAUUUGUCUGCUGGAAUUAAAGAUUGAUGGUAUGUACGUAUUUUUAUCUUCUUCGUUUUGUCUGCUCGGGAUUAAAGAUUUAGGAUAUGCCUGCCCUUACUCUUCUCCGUUUUGGAUUGAUGAAUGCUUUUCUAAUACUUUUCUGGUUUGGCUCAUCCUCUUGGCUAGGAAUAUUCAGCCCACCCGCACCCUUCAAUGAGAAAGUAUUCUGUAUGGACUAUUUUGAAUGUUUCUUUGUGAUCCUACCAGAUCCCAUCAUCUUCACUUCCUUUGGCCGAAUGUCCAUGGCUCUUCCUCUCUUGCUUUCCUCUUCUUUUUCCCAUCAUGUAGCAGCUGAAAUGGAUGAUAGCAGUUGAAGCAAGGAUGGCAGUGGAAAUUCAAGUAGUAAGCAAGAGCAGCAGCCUGCACAAUACACACAAGCAGCAACCAUGUUUAGCUUUUCCUUGAAUAUCUGCUGCUGUCCAGAAUUUAUGUUUUGGGAUUAUAGUUGAAGGAGGGGGGUUUCGAAACAGGUAUACAACUAACUUAUUGGCUGUACAAGCUAGUGCAGAAAAUUCAGCAACUUAUUCCUCUUAAGUUCUAGCCCCUUAGUUUGCCUUUAUCUCAUCUCUUUAACUCAACCUCAAUAUGUGACAUUAAGAGUACCAAAUGACCUUAAAAUCUCAUACCAAAACCAGCUCUAAGUAGCUGGAACUGAGGGGAACAGCAACACAUAGCUCCUCUCUUUUCUUUCUAUUGUUCAUCUCUCAUUCUCUCUACCAAUCCCUUGUUUUAGGCCACAUAAAUAAGUAUAAAAACCUUCAUAUAAUCCACGAAAACAAUGGUGAAGUGUAUAGAAAAAGGAGGAAGCUUGAAGGUUAGAGAAACAACUCAAACUAGUUCAAGUUUGAGGUGAAAAAAAAAAACUGUCCUCUAUCUUACUAUGUUUCUGGUUUGAUUUAAUUGCUGCAAAUCAGUCCCAUUCCUCUCCUCGUUUCAGUUUCAUGUUAGCUUGAUUAAUUCUCCAUGAAUUUGUGUUAAACCCUUGAAAUAACUUCUCAUAGAGACAUCAAACAGCAGCUAAGAGUGAUGCAAAAAGCAACAGUCGCAGCUGCAUGACAAAAGGACAAUCUCAACAGAUGUACUGAUCUGUUCCAGCCCUUUUACCUUUCCAAAUUCUCCUCUCAAGCCAUAAUUGGCCACAUCAUUCAAGACCCCUUGUAUAAGAAUCAAUCUUUAGAAGUGUGAAAUAGCAGCUGCAUCAUAGCACAUCUGAAACAACCCAAUAAUUCUACAGCCAUUAAGGCAACAAUUUGCAGUCGCUAUUCUCUUGAGUUUUUCUUCAACUUAUACUUUUUCUUUCUUUUUAGCAUCAACUAUAAGUGUAUUAAAUUCCUGUACCUCAACUACACUAUAAACAAGCGCAUAGUAGUGGUAGGAACUGAAAAUAGCAACCGAAACAACAGCAAAACAGAAAAAGCAGCAUUGCUGCGAUUUUUCAGCUUUAUCCAAUUUCCAGUUGUACUCUUCUAUUCUUUUGGUUGUUUUACGCCUAGUACUUAAAGUACUUAUUUUCCUUACCUUACCUUCCCUUCAUUUCCUUUCGUCUAUUUGCACUAUAGCAUUUCUAAGUGAUGACAAGAACCAAAACUUAGUGGCCAUGACAACAAAUAACAUCCAAGCAGUGCAGCAACAACCGCAAGAGUGGUAGAAAAAUAGUAGCAGCAGCUGUUUAUCCAGCCCUUCACCACUCAAUUUCCCUUCCAUCAAACAAUAGUUAGAUGCUCCACCCAAGUUACUUUGUAAAGGCACCUUUCAGAUACCAUAUAGCUUUAAGUAGGCCCAAUUUGUAGGGGCAGCAACAUCUUCCAACCUUGGUUUCUUGAAGUUCCUUUCAAUUUCUACUUCAUGAUCUGUCCCAGCACUCCACCUUUCAUAUUUCACUUCCGUAAUAAUUGACCACACCCCUAAAGGUUCCUUAUAGCUGCAUUAACCAUCCUCAACAAAAGUGUCAAACUGCAACUGCCAUGUAGCAAAUGAGAAACAAGCUAGAAGUUAUGCUGUAAAUUCACAGCAGCAGCUUUCAGCCCCUAGUCGCUCAAUGUUUGUUUUAAUUGCUAUCCUUUCUUCAUCAUUUUUUUUCCUCUAUUAUUAGUGUUUUAAUUUUUAAAAUCAGGUAUCAUCUUCUCCUCUUCACCCUAACUAGCCAUAGCAGUCUUGAAUCUCAACUAGGAGCAGAAUCAAUAACCAUAGCAGCAGGUGGUCCAACUUAUUGGUUAACCUGCUAAGCUCCCUUUCUGUUUUCCUUAAACUGUUCAAACAGCACGCAUACAACUCCCUUUCCUCUGUUUUGACUCCUCCAGAGCCAAGCCAAAAUGUUUCCACCAAGAAUAAGGUAUGGGCAACAAUGGCAAAAAGGAAACAAGAACAUGGAAAUUAUCAGCAAUUACGUAACGUCAAUCAUGUCAACAGCAAGUUUCAAACCUUGGGCCCAUUUAGUCACUUCGCACAAAUGAUUCAUCACUUCAUUACCAUCAAACAGCAACCAGUAGCCUCGUUUCAAGCCACUGCACAAUGAAGACUCACCAUGAACCGCAGUUGCCAAAUACUUUGGACCAUCUAACACUCGGAUUCUAGUCUGUGUCUUGGUAUAACUUCUAUUCCUUUCUCUUCAUUUUACACAUAUUGUUAGAAUAAUAGUCUUUAUUCUGUUCUAAUAAGCAGAAUUCAAAAUAAAGAUAUUAAGCAAGAUUUAACAAGAAUAUAUUCACGAACAAGAACCAAACAGAUUCAAACUAAUCAACAGAUUAGAUCUAACAGCAGAAUCAGAUUAUAUAUAGAUUCAGACUAGCAACAGGUUCAGUCUAACAAGAUAUUCAACCUAACAGAUAGAUUCAGAUUAUCUAUAGAUUAUAACAGAACAAUAUUAAUAAGAAAUUAAACGUAGCAACAUCAAUAAUCAAAAGAUUAACAGAAAUAAGCAAGAAAUAGGCAAGAAAAGAACAACACAACCGAUUUACGUGGUUCGACCCUAAUGGUUUACAUCCACGGCAGGAAUGGCCUCAGAUCUUUAUUGAUAAUCAGUGUCCUUCACAGAGAAGCCUCAGAAACCACUCAAAGAUUUACAAAUCUCUCAUCUCACUGUAAAAUCACAAAGAUUUCCUUCACAACAGUGAAACCCUAGUUUCUCCCUCUCAGAUCUCUCUCGAAGACUCUCUCUCUCAAUCAGCUGAAGUAAACACAAAUGAAGAGAUUAGGUUUUUAGAAAACCCAUAGCGAUACAUAUAUAUAGGGUAACACAGAUGGCUCCACGUGUACAGAUCCUGCGGCUGAAGUUUAACUUCACUUGAUGCUGCUUACGAGUCACGUGUUGGUCACGUGAUCACCAACUCAGACUCUUAAACUUCACAGCUCCAGAAUCUUCUAAGUAUUUAAUCCAUUCAAUGUCAUAAAGAGAAGGGUUAGAUCACAUAUAACAAAGAGAAAUAAAUUAAUUGCCAUAAUACAUUACAAAUCUCCACCUUGGCAAAAGGUUUAUUUGCCAAAUUAUCAAUUAUAAUCAUUGGCUCAUUCCUGCACUUAUCCCCCUAAUGGGGACUGACUCUAGACUCCAUAUUAAUCAAGUUCAGACAUUGUCUGAACUUAGACCUUGGGAGUGACUUGGUCAUCAUAUCAGAGGGAUUAUCCUCAGUUGAGACCUUCUCCACACCUACAACCUUAGACUCUAUAACAUCCCUGACAAAAUGAAGCCUUAUAUCAAUAUGCUUAGACCUUUCAUGGUAAACUUGGUUUUUAGCUAAGUGAAGUGCACUCUGAUUGUCACAGUGCACAGAAAUAUUACCAUUAAAAAUACUUAACUCAUUUGCAAUGCCCUUUAACCAAAUGACCUCUUUUAUUGCUUCAGUCAAUGCUAUAUACUCAGCCUCUGUUGUGGACAAGGCCACAACAGAUUGUAAGUGUGACUUCCAGUUAACAGCCCCUCCAAAAGCAGUAAACACAUACCCAGUUAAGGAUUUUCUAGUGUCUACAUUUCCUGCAAAAUCAGAGUCUACAUAACCAACUAACUCACAUCCUUUCUCAACACCAUUUCCAUAACUGAGUCCUAGAUUAGUAGUGCCAACUAGGUACCUUAGUACCCAUUUGAUAGCCUGCCAAUGGGGUUUCCCUGGAUUCCCUAUAAACCUACUGACUAUACUCACAGCAUAGGUUAGAUCAGGUCUAGAACAGACCAUUGCAUACAUUAUGCUCCCCACCAUGCUAGCAUAGGGGAUUUGUUUCAUAAAAUCAAUAUCAGAAUCUGUUUUAGCAGCCUGAUCUACAGAAAGUUUGAAAUGUUGAGCUAAAGGUGUGUUAACAAAUUUCAAAGUGUUCAUACCAAAUCUCUUUAGUACUUUAGAAAUGUAGGUUUUCUGGGACAGGUAUAAACCCCUUGCAUUUCUGUCCCUUACUAUUUCCAUUCCUAAUAUCUUCUUAGCAGGGCCCAGUUCUUUCAUUUCAAACUCAGAUUUCAACAUGCAUUUAACUUCAUCAAUUAGAUCAGUGUCUUUACAAGCUAUCAGCAUAUUAUCUACAUAAAGUAAAAGAUAUAUCAUUAUUCUUUUUUCUUCCUUGUAAUAUACACAGCUGUCAUAGCAACUCCUAUUAAAAUUAUUACUAAUCAUGUGUGUGUCAAAUCUCUUAUACUAUUGCCUAGGAGAUUGUUUAAAACCAUUUAAUGAUUUUUUAAGAAAGCACACAAGAUUUUUAUUUAUUUUAUCAGUAAAGCCUUCAGGAGGUUGCAUAUAAAGUUCUUCUUCAAUUUCACCAUGUAGAAAAGCUGUUUUAACAUCUAAUUGUUCUAAAUGCAAGUUUUCAAAAGCUGUAUAGGCUAGCAGUAGCCUGAUUGAGCUAUGUUUCACCACAGGUGAGAAAAUUUCAUUAAAGUUGAUUCCCUCUCUCUGUGUAAAACCUUUUGCUACCUAGCCUUGUACCUGGUCCCUUCUAUCCCUGGUAUACCAUCUUUUUUCUUAAAGAUCCACUUGGACCCAAUGAGUUUGACUCCUUUAGGUUUAGUCACCAGAACCCAAGUUUGAUUCUUAUUUAGUGACUCCAUCUCCUCAUGCAUGGCUAAGAGCCAUUUAGAUGAGUCUUUACUAGAUACAGCCUCUUUAUAAGACCUAGGUUCUUGGUAAACAACAUCAUCAGCCACUGUCAAGGCAAAAGCUGUAAGGUCAGCCUGUCCAAACCUUUGAGGAGGUUUAAUUACCCUCCUCUGUCUGUCUCUAGCUAGAUUCCAAGAUCUGGCUCCACCUUGACCUGUGUCUUCUGAGGUUUGAUCCUCAGAGUCACUGUCAUCACCAUUUACAGGUUCAGGUUGGGUGUCAUCCUGCUCCACUUCAACCUGAGAUCCUUCUAAAAGUUUGUCAGUAUUAUUGUUUGACUGUGCUUCUUGUACCCGAGCCAUGUGUGACUCAUUAAAAGUCACAUCUCGGCUAACAAUGCACUUAUGUCUACCAGGUCCAUCUACCCAAAGUUUGUAUCCCUUUACCCCUUCAGGAUACCCUAUAAAUAUGCACUUAAGUGCCCUAGGUUCCAACUUAUCAGUUUUUGAAUGUGCAUAAGCUACACAUCCAAAAACUCUUACGUAGUCAUAUCUGGGGGCUUUUCCAGACCAUAACUCCUGUGGGGUUUUAAACCCUAUAGCAGAGGAUGGACAUCUAUUUAUAAGGUGAACUGCAGUGGUGAUAGCUUCUGCCCAAAAGGCUUUGGGCAGUCCUGAAUUAGACAGCAGACACCUAACUCUUUCUAAAAUAGUCCUGUUCAUUCUCUCAGCUAAACCAUUCUGUUAAGGGGUUUCCCUCACAGUCUUAUGCCUAAGAAUUCCUUCUUUUUGACAAAACAGAUUAAAUUCAUUUGACAGGAAUUCUAAACCAUUAUCUGUUCUUAGGGUUUUCAGUUUUCUACCUACUUGAUUUUCCACUAGAGAUUUCCACUCCUUGAACUUUUCAAAGGUGUCACUCUUGUUCCUCAGAAUAUAAAUCCAGACCUUUCUAGAGUAGUCAUCCACUAAGGAGAGGAAAUAACUCCCUCCACUAUGUGAAUUUACUCUUGCAGGUCCCCAUAGAUCUGAGUGGACAUAGUCCAAGGUUUGCUUAGUAUUAUGGGUUGCUGACUUGAAACUGACCAUCUUUGCCUUUCCAAAGAUACAAUCCUCAUAGAAAGGUAAAUUUCCUAGGUUCUGUUCACUCAGUAAUCCUUGUUUUUGUAACUCUACAAGCUCAUUUUGGCUUACAUGACCAAGCCUCCUAUGCCAUAAGACAGACUUAUUCUCUAAAGUGUUCUGUAUAGAAGAAGCUUCCCCAACUACAGUUUUUCCAAGCAAUGUAUAUAACCCAUUUUUAAUAACCCCUUUCAUAAUUUCUCUUGGUAUGCUUGAUUUAUUAGGCUAUACCUUCAAGUCUGAAGCAGGGGUUCUUAGGGUUACUAUAACCCCUUUCAUAAUUAGUAAGGAACCUUUAGUAACCCUAAGAACCCCUGCUUCAGACUUGAAGGUAUAGCCUGAUAAAUCAAGCAUACCAAGAGAAAUUAAAUUUCUCUUCAACUCAGGUAUAAAUCUGACUUCCUUCAAGGUUCUUUUAGUACCAUCAUGUAAUUUUAGUCUAACUGGCCCUAUACCCAUGAUUUUACAGGACUUAUUAUUUCCUAGGAUUACAUGUCCCCCCUUUAAUUCAGAAAAGGUUUCAAACCACUCUUUCACUGGAGACAUGUGAAAAGAGCAACCAUAGUCCAUUAUCCACUCUGUUUUAGAAUCAACUUCACUCACUGUGAGUACCUCAGCACUCAUAACCAUCUAGCACCACAGAGGCAUCCCCUGCCUUUUUGGUCUUAUUCGCUAUAUUGUUUUUCCUAUCAGGGCAAUUCCUUUUGAAAUGCCCUUCCUUAUGACAAUGAAAACAUUUAAAAUGUUUUCCCUUAGAUUUAGACCUAGAUUUCUUGAUAUCACUCUUGCCUUUCUUUUCUCUUUUUUCUGUUCUGCCCCUAACAGAUAACCCUUCCCCAUGUUCCUGUUUGGUAUCACCUUUGUUUUGUAAUUCCCUAGUAUGAAGUACAGAUUGUACUUCAUCUAAAGUCAAGGAAUCCCUACCAUACAUCAUGGUUUCUUUAAGGUUCUGAUAUGAUGAGUCCAAAGAACUCAUCAAGAGGAUUGCUUGAUCCUCAUCCUCCACCUUAAUAUCUAUAUUAGCUAGAUCUAGAAUGAUUUUAUUAAAUUCAUCAAGAUGAUGUCCUAUUUGAGUCCCAUCAAUAGGCUAAACAGAUAGUUAUUUGCGAUUUGAGAGAUAGGCUAAAUAAUUGGUUAGAAAUAGGCACACGAGCUUUUACUAUCAUUUUGGAAAGCAUUCAGUAUUCAUUAAGUUGUUAUAUUCACCUGUACUCGCAAGGACAGAGAGGGAAGGCUUAAUGUCGACAGUGGGUGCCCUACAUUUGGAUGCUAGAGGCGGAUUUGCACAUCCAACGUCAGACCACCCCUGUUCAAUACCACAUGUUUUACAACAAAACUUUCACUAAAAAUCCAAACGAAAACUAACAAAUUUACAUAUCAAAACAAACGAAUUUACAUAUAAGAAAAAUAUCAUAAAUCGAACAAAAAACCAAAACAAACUCAUAAAAUUAGAUAUAAAACAAAUCAAAUAAACGAAACCAAGUAGUAAUCGUCCACAUACCAACACGCUCUGGUUUUGUGUCACAAAUCUUUAUAGCCCAUGGUCGUCAUAAUUGAUUGUUAAACUUAUAGACUCGUCACUUAUAGUUACAGUAGGUCCCUAACCCCCGUUGAAGAUUGGGGUAUUGAGUUGUAGAGACUCGUGGCCAUACUAUGGUGUUUUUGUCGUAGAAUGCGGCUUGGCCAUGACUACCCAUGAUAAUGAAGAGAACUGCGAAGUUGGUUUUAAAGAGGAGGAGAAGAAGAGAAAUAUGGAGUGGAAGAAAAAAGAGAGAGAAGUCAGGAUGGUGGCCAUUGAGACGUGAAAGUCUGGAAGGAAUGAGGAAAAGAAAAGGGGGAUGGGAGGAAGAGAAAUGGGGAGGACAAGGGCCGUUUGGAAGGAAAGAAAUGAUAGUAGAGUGAUUGAGAGAGGGAAAAAUUGGUAUUUAAUGUUAGGUUUUGUGUUUUUAAUAUAUAUGAUAUUUUGAUUUAUAUAUAUAUUUUUGUAUAUAUUUAUAUAUUAAAGGCCGUUGGGACCAAGGCCCAACCCGGCACUCGCUCCCUGGACUUUGAAACUGGUAAAUUAAAGCUCGUGCACUUGGGAAAUGCAAGCGGGAAGCAGCCCUAGUCUCCAACGCAUACUAGGCCAAGGUUGUUAAGGGAUGAAGUUAUGUCGAGAUUAUAAAAUUACAGGGCAUUUAUGGAAGGAAAGAAAGAAUGUGACCUAUAAAGAAAUAAAAGAAUUGAUUAUGGUCAAGUUGGAAUCUCAUCUAUGAGGCAGCACGUUGGAAUCUCAAGUUGGAAUCUUAUCUAUGAGGCAGCACGUGGAGGCCCUUGGACGGUUGGAGCAGGAGCACAUCACACAUGCAAUAAACCACACCAACUCACACAUGCAAAAAACGUGACAGCAACUCACACAUGUAGCAACAAACACAGCAGACAGUAGCCUCACUCGGACAGCACUCAUUCGAACUCACACAUGCAAUAAACCUACAUCAAGGAAAUGCACACAUGCAGAAAACGUGGGACCAGCUCACACAUGCAGACCAGCAGAAUACUCACACAUGCAGACCAGCAGAACAAACACAGCAGACAGCACACUUGGAAAGCAGCACGUUGCAGACACUCGGACAGCAGCAAAAUUAUUUCUCUCUUUCUUUCCGGAAGUUGAACGUGCAGCAGCAGAGAGUUUAUUACAUUCUUUCUUUCAUCUAAGUUGGAGCAGCAGGAGAUCACAUAGGAUCAUGGAAGACAAGCUGUUCAUUUCAGCUUUCUUGCUUCUGCACAUGGAAGGUCACCACGGCAUCACAUGUACAGCUCACAAACACACGGCUAUAAAAUGAAAGAAGGCUGAAAUGGUAAGGGACAGUGGAGCAGCUUAGCUUGUAUUUUUAUUUUUCUUACUUUUGUUUUAGACGCUGGGCAGCCAGUUUAUCUUUCUUGCUGUUUCUUUUGUUUUUUCAUUCAGCUACAACAGUAGCUUAGCUUGGAGUUUAUUACUUUAUUUCAUUUUCAAAAGUGCAGUAGCUUAGCUUGGAGUUUAUUUCUUCCUUUCA